UUACGGCCACAUCAGGUUAAAACACCUGUUCCGGUACGAUCAACGAAGUUAAGCAACGUCGAGAUUUGUUAGUACUUAGAUGGGUGACCACUUGGGAAUACCAGGU